rnacentral:misc_RNA from 1 species
AACGAGGCCGACCUGCGGCUGAGUUACCUGCGGAGGGAUCAUUACACAAUACAAUAUGAAGGCUGUCCGCAGCUGGAGUAUUUUAUUACCCUUGUCUUUUGCGCACUUGUUGUUUCCUGGGCGGGUUCGCUCGCCACCAGGACCACCAAAUAAACCUUUUUUAUGCAGUUGCAAUCAGCGUCAGUACAAACAAUGUAAAUCAUUUACAACUUUUAGCAACGGAUCUCAGAUCGGAAGAGC